rnacentral:rRNA from 1 species
GGCUUAGAAGCAGCCACUCAUUAAAAGAGUGCGUAAUAGCUCACUGGUCGAGUGACCCUGCGCCGAAAAUUCAACGGGGCUAAAAUCUAUACCGAAGCUUGGGCUGCAAUACGAAAGUAUUGCGGGGUAGGGGAGCGUCGUAUAAGAGGAGAAGUCAUAGCGGAAGCGAUGGUGGAUUUUAUACGAGUGAGAAUGCCGGAAUGAGUAGCGAGAAUUAUGUGAGAAUCAUAAUGGCCGAAAGUCUAAGGUUUUUGGAGGAAGGUUCGUCCGCUCCAAGUAAGUCGGGAGCUAAGGUCAGGCCGAAAGGCGUAGCCGAUGCACAAACGGUUGAUAUUCCGUUACCGUCUACAAUUUAAACAAAGGGACACAUACAAAGCGUUUAACCCGGGCGAUGGUUGACCCGGGCGCAAGGGACUGAAAUAAGAGUAGGGAAGUAAAUGUGGCGUAUGGCGAGAAAAGCUUUGUGUAUAGAAGUAGACGCCCGUACCGCAAACCGACACAGGUGGACAGGAAGAGAAUUCUAAGGCCAGCGGGAGAAGGGUAGUUAAGGAACUCGGCAAAUUGACUCCGUAACUUCGGAAUAAGGAGUGCUCGAAAGAGCCGCAGAGAAUAGGCCCAGGCGACUGUUUAGCAAAAACACAGGUCUCUGCCAAAUCGAAAGAUGAAGUAUAGGGGCUGACACCUGCCCGGUGCCGGAAGGUUAAGAGGAGGAGUGCAAGCUCCGAAUUGAAGCCCCGGUAAACGGCGGCCGUAACUAUAACGGUCCUAAGGUAGCGAAAUUCCUUGUCGGGUAAGUUCCGACCCGCACGAAUGGUGUAACGAUCUGGGCACUGUCUCAACUACCCACCCGGCGAAAUUGUAGUACCGGUGAAGAUGCCGGUUACCUGCGGCAAGACGGAAAGACCCCAUGGAGCUUUACUGUAGCCUGAUAUUGGGUUUCGGAAAUCUAUGUACAGGAUAGGCGGGAGACUGGGAAGUAUGAGCGUCAGCUUAUACGGAGUCAUUGUUGGGAUACCGCCCUUAGGUUUCUGGAAUUCUAACCUGCGACCGUGAAUCCGGUCGGGGGACAUUGUCAGGUGGGCAGUUUGACUGGGGCGGUCGCCUCCGAAAAGGUAACGGAGGCGCUCAAAGGUUGGCUCAGCACGGACGGAAACCGUGCCUCAGAGUGUAAACGCAAAAGCCAGCCUAACUGCGAGGAUGACGGUCCGAGCAGUAACGAAAGUUGGAGUUAGUGAUCCGGCGGUAUGUGAAUGGAAAUGCCGUCGCUCAACGGAUAAAAGCUACCCUGGGGAUAACAGGCUGAUCUCCCCCAAGAGUCCACAUCGACGGGGAGGUUUGGCACCUCGAUGUCGGCUCAUCACAUCCUGGGGCUGAAUUCGGUCCCAAGGGUUCGGCUGUUCGCCGAUUAAAGUGGUACGCGAGCUGGGUUCAGAACGUCGCGAGACAGUUCGGUCCCUAUCUGUCGUGGGCGUAGGAUAUUUGAAGAGCGCUGUCCCUAGUACGAGAGGACCGGGAUGGACGCACCGCUGGCGCAUCGGUUGUCAUGCCAAUGGCACGGCCGAGUAACUAUGUGCGGUUUGGAUAAACGCUGAAAGCAUCUAAGCGUGAAGCCAUCUCUAAGAUAAGAUAUCCCAUAGCAUAAGCAAGUAAGACCCCUUGAGGACUACGAGGUUGAUAGGCUGCAUGUGUAAGUGUCGUGAGGCAUUUAGCUUGGCAGUACUAAUAGGUCGAGGGCUUGACCAC